rnacentral:rRNA from 1 species
CUAUGCGCCUUGCCAGCCCCGCUCAGAAACUCAAAGGAAUUGACGGGGGCCCGCACAAGCAGCGGAGCAUGUGGUUUUAAUUCGAAGCAACGCGAAGAACCUUACCAAGACUUGACAUCCCCUGACAGCUGUUGAAAGGCAGUGUCUCUUCGGAGCAGGGAGACAGGUGGUGCAUGGUUGUCGUCAGCUCGUGUCGUGAGAUGUUGGGUUAAGUCCCGCAACGAGCGCAACCCUUAUCCUUAGUUACCAGCACGUAAAGGUGGGGACUCUAGGGAGACCGCCGGGGACGACUCGGAGGAAGGUGGGGACGACGUCAAAUCAUCAUGCCCCUUAUGUCUUGGGCUACACACGUGCUACAAUGGCCGCAACAGAGGGAAGCGAGAGCGCAAGCUGGAGCAAAACCCUAAAAAGCGGUCCCAGUUCGGAUUGUGGGCUGCAACCCGCCCACAUGAAGUCGGAGUUGCUAGUAAUCGUGAAUCAGAAUGUCACGGUGAAUACGUUCCCGGGCCUU